GGGGAUGUAGCUCAGCCGGGAGAGCGCCUGCUUUGCACGCAGGAGGCCAGCGGUUCGAUUCCGCUCAUCUCCACCA
rnacentral:tRNA from 1 species